AGAGUUUGAUCCUGGCUCAGAUUGAGCGCUGGCGGCAUGCUUUACACAUGCAAGUCGAACGGCAGCACGGGCUUCGGCCUGGUGGCGAGUGGCGAACGGGUGAGUAAUGCGUCGGAACGCGCCGAGUAGUGGGGGAUAACGCAGCGAAAGCUGUGCUAAUACCGCAUACGUACUGAGGUAGAAAGUGGGGGACCUUCGGGCCUCACGCUAUUCGAGCGGCCGACGUCUGAUUAGCUAGUUGGUGGGGUAAAGGCUCACCAAGGCGACUAUCAGUAGCGGGUCUGAGAGGAUGAUCCGCCACACUGGGACUGAGACACGGCCCAGACUCCUACGGGAGGCAGCAGUGGGGAAUUUUGGACAAUGGGCGCAAGCCUGAUCCAGCCAUGCCGCGUGUCUGAAGAAGGCCUUCGGGUUGUAAAGGACUUUUGUCCGGGAGCAAAGCCUACUUGUUA
rnacentral:rRNA from 1 species